GUAGUCCGCACCGUAAACGAUGAUCACUCGUUGUUGGCGAUACACAGUCAGCGACUAAGCGAAAGCAUUAAGUGAUCCACCUGGGAAGUACGACCGCAAGGUUGAAACUCAAAGGAAUUGACGGGGGCCCGCACAAGCGGAGGAGCAUGUGGUUUAAUUCGAUGGUACGCGAGGAACCUUACCUGGGCUUGAAAGACAGUUGACCGUCUCUGAAAGGAGACUUUCGCAAGACAACUGUCUAGGUGCUGCAUGGCUGUCGUCAGCUCGUGCCGUGAGGUGUCGGGUUAAGUCCCAUAACGAGCGCAACCCCUAUUUCUAGUUGCCAUACCUUAAUUGGUGGAACUCUAGAGAAACUGCCAGCGUAAGCUGUGA
rnacentral:rRNA from 1 species